rnacentral:lncRNA from 1 species
GCCACUUUAACUUUCAGGGGGCAAUGUGAGAUUUGACCAUAGUUUUAAGGGGCACUAUAGUAAAUAAGCCAAUAACUAAUUUUUGGGGCCUAAUAAUAACAAGCAUAAUUCAAACUUAUUUGCUAGUUGUCCUCAAAAGUCAUGAUCCAAAAUCCACUAGCUAACUAGUCUCUCCAAUCUAUCAAAAUAUUUCAUUCAUUUAUAGAAUAUAAGAUACUUGAUAAAACAAACCAAAAAACAUGAAGCUCUCAACGGCAAAUAUUUCAUUCAUUGAUAGAAUCUAAGAUAUUUAAUGAGCCUACUUCCAUACAAAGUUAUCCAUUAUUUUCAGCAAAUGAAGACUGGCAUGUCAAUCAUUG